UACAGAGACUGCAAGCGUUAUUCGGAUUCACUGGGCGUAAAGGGUGCGCAGGCGGUUGAGUGUGUCAGAUGUGAAAUCCCGAGGCUUAACCUCGGAACUGCGUCUGAAACUACUCGACUAGAGUACUGGAGAGGGUAACGGAAUUCACGGUGUAGCAGUGAAAUGCGUAGAUAUCGUGAGGAACACCAGAGGCGAAGGCGGUUACCUGGACAGUUACUGACGCUCAGGCACGAAAGCAUGGGGAGCAAAAGGG
rnacentral:rRNA from 1 species